rnacentral:lncRNA from 1 species
ACUUUAAUCAAGUCACUUAUGGGACCUUGAUCAAUGGGCUCUGUAAGACCGGACACACGUCAGCUGCUAUUCAAGUGUUGAGAAAGAUCCCAUGGUAUGGCGUUGCUCCUAAUGUCUUCAUGUACAGCGCAAUUAUUGAUAGCCUCUGCAAGGAUACACUUGUAAGUCAGGCUUUUCAUUUAUUCUCUGAAAUGCUUGCUAAGGGAAUUUCUCCCGAUGUUAUCACAUACAGUUCUCUCAUUUUUGGAUUGUGUCUUGAGGGUCAAUAUAAGGAAGCCAUUGAUUUGUUAAGUGAUAUGAUGCUUAGAAACAUUACUCCAAAUGUUCAUACCUAUAGUAUUUUGAUCGAUGGGCUAUGCAAGGAAGGAAAGAUCAAAGAUGCUAAGAGUGUAUUGGCUGUAAUGGCAAAACAUGGUGUGAAACCAGAUGUGGUUACUUAUAACAGCUUAAUGGAUGGAUAUUGUUUGGUUAAUCAGGUAAAUAAGGCAAAAUAUAUAUUCAACACAAUGGCCCAAAGUAGAGUGUCACCCAAUGUUCAAAGUUACAGUAUCAUGAUUAAUGGCUUGUGCAAAAGUAAAAGGGUCGAUGAAGCCUUGAAUCUCUUUGAAGAAAUGCGUUGCAAGAACUUGGUUCCUAACACGGUAACUUACAAUACUCUAGUUGAUGGCUUAGGAAAAUCAAGGAGAAUACUUUGUGCUUUGGAGCUUCUUGAAAAGAUGCAUGAUUGGGGUCAACCUGCUGAUAUAGUCACUUACAGUUCUUUGCUGGAUGCUUUGUUCAAUAUCAAACAACAUGACAAGGCACUUAUGUUAUUCAAUCAAAUGAAAGAGAGUGGCAUUGAUCCAAAUAUAUAUACAUACAACAUACUUAUAGAUGGCCUGUGCAAAAGUGGAAGACUUACUUUAAUAAUGAUGGUAUAAGGUUAGGGUAGUAACCAUAGAUUUAUACCCUAUAAGUGUUGAUAUAAGGUUAGGUGGGUACAUUAUCUCAUGUUUGGCAAAUAAUACUACAGCACACCACAAUUCUGAAGGUUGCAUGAUAUGAUAUCAUGUUAAAGGAAGAAAAACAAUAUCCACAAGAAGAAGUAACAUUCAGCAAAACAAUAAUAACAAUAAACUAAAUACAAAAAGAUUACUCACUGUGAGUGGCCAUCCCUUCAAAGUCAAAUUGUUACUACCUUGAUUUGGUCCUGAGAGAAGAAAAUAAUUCUUUUACAUCAUUUUCUUUAUGCAAGGAUAGUGAAAAAGACUGAUGCAUGAUUGGAUGGACUAGAUGGAAAUCACAUCAACUAGAGAAUGGAAGAAUACCAGGAAUUCCCAUCAAUGAUCCUUCAGCACCCGCAGCUCUAGGGUUCAGUACAGGAUUAAUCUCACUCUUUAUAUCCUGAUUUCAAGUAGUUAGUCAGGGAAAAACAGAUAAGGAAAAAGUAGUAAUAAUAACAACAAGUAAUGAGAUCACUCAAUGAACAAGGACAUACUGGAGUAGACCCUGCUAAUUGCUGACUACGAGCUUGAACUUGUGGAGGCAUGCCAGCCGCAGUAGCACCAUGCAAAACUUGCCUGCAAUCGAGCAAUUUGGCGCCAACAAAGUCAACACUUGUAGCUAUACAAAAUGCCAGAUACCAAGAGACUUAAACACCAAAUAACUCUCCCUUCAUAAUGAGCACAGGACUGACUUUAAAUAAGCAAUAAAAUCACAGUUUAUAAACAAAAAUAAUAACAUUAAUAAUCACCCUGAAGGCUGGCCAGUAGCAGCAGCUGACUUCAAAAUUGAGGCAUGAUUAGGAUCCAAAAUUUGACCCAUGUUCUCACCACCGAAUCUUUGCUGUACAAAAUACCAAAAGAAAGAAAUGAAUAUAUGGCUCAUAAGUUUAUAGAACAGCAGAUGCAUCAUCCUAUAGUCAGAUGUUGAGAACAUCAACUACCUUCAUUGCUGCUUCAUCCAAAGAAUCUCUCUUUAGCCUCUCCUCAUACAUCUUUGUUGCUAGUGCAUUGGCAGUUCCCUGGUUCCCAACUAACCCAUUCGUAUUGCCGUUUAUGAGAUUAGCCCUGUCCCUACCUUGCUGUUGUUGUGGCGGUGGUUGCUGCUGCUGCUGCGGUUGUGGCUGAGGUGGCUGCUGUUGUUGCUGUUGCUGCGGCUGCUGCUGCUGUUGUUGUUGUUGCUGCUGCUGCUGCUGCUGAUGCUGCUGCUGCUGCUGCUGCUGGAAUUGACAUAUAAUCAUAGUCGACGCAUUGCCUUAAUUUGUUGUUGUUAGGUGUAUUGUGUUUCUGUAGUGUCUCUGCAACGGCUUUGAUUGGUUCUUGUAAUGCUUUUUCACUCAUCUCGAUGGCUUAUUAGGCGAAAUUAGUAAGUUACGAUUGAGCCAUUGACCUAAUAAAAUCAUAAAUACUAUUCUUUUUUAUUUUUUGAAAGUGACACAAUUACUAAUACUAUUUUUCUGAGCUUUUUUAGGGUGAAACGUAGUUAUUAAUCUUUUCGCUACGGUCAUCAGCAUAAAGACGAAUAAUUUGGUCACAAAAUAUUUUUCAUGUCUAAGGUAGAAUUUUAAACUACUGAGUUUAUAGUAGUUUGGUCAUAAAGACAAAUAAUUUGGUCAUCAGAAUAAACUGUUGUUUAUUGGUAUUGCUAAAAAUGUUUUUCCUUUCAUGGAUGUUGGCCCUCAAACACAAAUUGUUAAAAUGCAUUAAGCAUUCGGUACUAACAUCUUCACGAAUUGUUUUUCCUUUUUCUCAAUGAGUUUGAUAACUAUUUAAACACUUUUCUCUUCUUCAGCUGUUAUAUAAUGCUCUCUGGAUGAAAUUAUACCCCUGUAAUUUUGAAAAACUCAAACUUUGGUAUAGAAUUGCCAUUUAAUAAAGGCACCUAUUCCAAUAAAGAUAUAAAAAAUAUCUCAUGAAAAUAUUUGAUUAAAUUUUGACUUAUUUCUUUAGCCAUACUUUAAAUAAAGAUAACAAUUGUAUAACAUACUAAAAUCAAAUCUUACAAUCCACUAUCCAAUAGCUAAACAGAAGCAUCAUUACAUGAAGAUAAUUUAAAAUCUUCAUUAGAGUAUCCACCUUUAAUAAAAGCAUGAACAAUCAAAAUAAUCCCUUCAACACCAUAGUGAACAUUCUUUAUUUGUACAUUCAUCUUUUCAAAUAUCACGUUCUUAAUUCUGAGUUAUUUUAAUAUGUGCACUCUUGAAUGUUUUCUGAAUUUAAGCAAAAGGAUAAUAAAUCUUUUUCCUGAUUUGAUCAAAAUAAAUUCUCACAAAAAGAAUAAGAAUGUUACCUGCAAAUGUUUAUAUUUCUUGUGGCAAGGUGGUAUUAUAAGACCACGAGGAAAAUUUUCCUUGUUUUUCAAUCACAAGACUGUGAUAUCUACUAGCUAAGAAGGACUAAAAAUGAUAACAGGACAAUGAGGCUAAAAGAAUGCACAACUCAAAAAGUUUUAUGAGUAAAGAGAAUGCAGUGGCUAUAUUGAUGGCUAAUUAAACUAAUGCUAGUGAAAAUAGAAAAAUACAAACAAAUCAUAAAACAACAAUGAAUUUUGUAAAUAAAACCAGUAAAUUCUUACUUUGAUAAUCCGGCAAAUAAUCUAUCUUUUUUUUCGUAUGAUCGUAUCAUAAUACCCCAAAGAACUCACAUAAUAAUUAGUCUAGUUAAGAGAAAUACAUCAUAAAAAUUUAUUAAUAACCAUGGUUGAAUAUUAUACCAUUCUCAAUAUAUUAAUUGACCUUGAACAAGCUAAAGGACAAGAGAUUGCAAAAUUACAAAACAGUUUAGAAGAAAUGCAGGGAGAGCAAGAUAAAGCCCAGGCUACAAUUAUAAUAGCAAAGCAACAAAACUAGCAAUUGAGCAAGUACUAUAGUAGUUAAAGAGGUUCAUGUUAUAGACAACAAUAAGGUAAGGUUACUAAAAUGAGAAGCUCGAGGUCACUUUUUGUUUUUGAUAUUGGAGUGAUAAUGGUGAUUUUUUUUCUUAAAAUGUGGAUUGUUGAAGUAUUAUUCUUAGAUGUGGAACCAUUUAAUUAGAGAAAUAAAAAUCAGACCGUUCCAACUGUUAGAGGUAUAAAAAUCGGACCGUCCGAUUUGUAGAGGUACAGAAAUUGGACUGUUCGAUUUGUGUUAAAAAAUUAAAAAAAUUUGAAAUACAAAAGUUACAAAUUAGACUCUCCGAUUUGUAUAUUUUUACAAUUUAAAAAAAAUAAAAAUUACAAUAUUAGAGUAUAUCACUACUUUUAUUUUCAUAUAAAAAAGGUCGUUAAAAGGUAGGUCUAUAUUUCUAUCUUAAAAUAGUACAUUUUACUGUCAAAAGUAAAACAUGAAAACAAAAGACUUUAGCUAGGAGUUCAAUACAUUUUGCACAUUAACCAAAAAGUUAUGUGAGAUUUUUAAAUAGUACAAUUCAAAAAAAAAGGAGUGUAUUUCUAAUUUACCCGUUUGUUUCGAUACGAAAUUUAAAUUAUAAAAAAUAGAAAAAAUGUAAGAAAUAAAAUUUAUAAAAUGAUUUUUCAUAGAAUAGAAUUAAUGAUUAUUUGCAAAAGAAUAGAAAAUUCCUCAUCUAGCAAACAUUAGACUCGUUAGUUUUAAGAUAGCAAAUGCUAAUAACACAUUGUUUUUGAGAAAUAUGAGAAAAAAAAAAUGUAGAGAAAAAAUAGAUGAAAAAUUAAAUUUUUUGUUAUUUGGUUUAAAAAAUGUAGUAUAUAAAAUUGUUCCUAAGGUUUAAAAACUAGAAGUUUAAAAUUGUCCUUUUUACUUAAAUAUUAAAAUUUUAGACUAAAUCACUCGCAUGCUCUCUAUGCGUCGCCCUCCGUCCAUCAUCCAAUUCACCAAGAUUUUGGGAUCUCUUGCCAAGACCAACCAUUUUCCCACCGCCAUUUCCCUAUUUCAGCAAUUGCAAGCCAGAGGAAUCGCUCCCGACUUAUUUACUUUGAGCAUUGUAAUUAAUUGUUGUUGCGGCAUGGGUCGUAUGACGCUUGCUUUUUCUGUAUUGGCCAAGAUUUUCAGAAUGGAUUAUCAACCUGAUACGGUAACAUUGACAACAAUCCUGAAAGGUCUCUAUCUCUGUGGUAGUGUUGAAAAAGCAGUACGCUUCCAUGACAGAGUGCUGGCUCAUGGAUUUCAGUUUAAUCAAGUCACUUAUGGGACGUUGAUCAAUGGGCUCUGUAAGACCGGACACACGUCAGCUGCUAUUCAAGUGUUGAGAAAGAUCCCACGGUAUGGCAUUGCUCCUGAUGUCCUCAUGUACAGCGCAAUUAUUGAUAGCCUCUGCAAGGAUACACUUGUAAGUCAGGCUUUUCAUUUAUAUUCUGAAAUGCUUGCUAAGGGAAUUUCUCCCGAUGUUAUCACAUACAGUUCUCUCAUUUUUGGAUUGUGUCUUGUGGGUCAAUAUAAGGAAGCCAUUGAUUUGUUAAGUGAUAUGGUACCUAGAAACAUUACUCCAGAUGUUCGUACCUAUAGUAUUUUGAUCGAUGGGCUAUGCAAGGAAGGAAAGAUCAAAGAUGCUAAG